CUCCCCGCGCAGCCUCUCUCCUCCCUGUCAAAACAGCAGCGACGGUUUUUCCGCCGCCACCGCUUCCUCCGGCCACCAUUCGAGGUGGUGUUGGUCUCAAAAUGACCGGCUGGUCUUCCGCUUCCAACCCCAGCCAAGCUCCGUCGCCAGCAGCUGCGAGUUUGGCCGGAAACUGCAGAAAAUCCGGCGGUUUUUCCCGAAUUUUCAAAUCGCUCGUUCUCUCUCAUUUCUCCACCAAAUUGGACGUAUAAGGCCCGUCGGAGAUUGAUUUAUUUUGCCCAGGCCCGUCGGAGUUUGCCCAGGCCCUUCGGAUGUCUUCUUAAUACGAUGCCUUGGAAAGGAAGUGUUAAUAUUUCAAUGUGUUUUUAUCUGAUUUAGAAUUAUGAUAUAUCCGAAAGAUAUAGAGGUUUGGCACAAUUGAAUUAAGGAAGAAAAUAUCAUUUUAUAAUGUUGUGAUAA